AACGAACGCUGGCGGCAUGCCUAACACAUGCAAGUCGAACGAGACCUCCGGGUCUAGUGGCGCACGGGGGCGUCACGCGUGGGAAGCUGCCCGUAGGUUCGGAAUAACACCCCGACGGGGGUGCUAAUACCGGAUAAUGUCUUCUGACAAAAGAUUUAUCGCCUUUGUAUGGGCCCGGGUUGUAUUAGCUAGGUGGUAGGGUAAAAGCCUACCACGGCGACGAUCCAUAGCGGGUCUGAGAGGAUGCUUAGCCACACUUGGGCUGAGACACGGCCCAGACUCUUACGGGAUGCAGCAGUGGGUGAUAUUGGAAAACCGCCUAGAGCCUGAUCGAGCACUGCCGGUUGAGUGAUGAAGUUCUUAGAGUUGUAAAGCUCGUUUACCCGGGAUGAUAAUGACGGUACCGGGAGAAUAAGCUCCGGCUAACUCCGUG
rnacentral:rRNA from 1 species